UGGUAAGCAAUAUUGCCAGCUCAUACCUUACGAGAAGUGCAGUGACAGCAUUUGAUAUAUAUGUUAUACAUAUCGUUGGAACUGCUUAUUAUAUCAACAAAAAACUAUGUUGACUUUCUUUUGUUUGGUUUGGAUGCUGCUUGUCUCCAUCACUGAGUCAACGUAUCAAGUGAAAAAACCGGACAUAUGUCCCAAUGGCAGAAAUGGUACAUGUGGAACAAUGAGAGGCCUUGUGUGUCCUGCUGAAUCUACGUGUUUAUUCACAAGAAAUUAUCCCGGCGCCAGUGGUCAUUGUUGUUUAAACAAACAUGUAAAAGUAUGCCUGCAACCUGUAGAACCUGGUCCUUGCAGAGCUGCAAUCACACGUUACUAUUACAAUAACCCUGUACAUGCGAGCCUUUCAGAUGGGGUGGCU